rnacentral:rRNA from 1 species
UACGGAGGGUGCAAGCGUUAAUCGGAAUUACUGGGCGUAAAGCGCGCGUAGGCGGCUAAGUCAGUCAGAUGUGAAAGCCCCGGGCUCAACCUGGGAAUUGCACCUGAUACUGCUUGGCUAGAGUACAGAAGAGGGUGGUGGAAUUUCCUGUGUAGCGGUGAAAUGCGUAGAUAUAGGAAGGAACAUCAGUGGCGAAGGCGACCACCUGGACUGAUACUGACGCUGAGGUGCGAAAGCGUGGGGAGCAAACAGG